rnacentral:rRNA from 1 species
GACGAACGCUGGCGGCGUGCUUAACACAUGCAAGUCGAACGGAAAGGCCCUGCUUUUGUGGGGUGCUCGAGUGGCGAACGGGUGAGUAACACGUGAGUCACCUGCCCUUGACUUUGGGAUAACUUCAGGAAACUGGGUCUAAUACCGGAUAGGAGCUCCUGCUGCAUGGUGGGGGUUGGAAAGUUUCGGCGGUUGGGGAUGGACUCGCGGCUUAUCAGCUUGUUGGUGGGGUAGUGGCUUACCAAGGCUUUGACGGGUAGCCGGCCUGAGAGGGUGACCGGCCACGUUGGGACUGUGGUACGGCCCGUACACCUACGGGAGGCAGCAGUGGGGAAUAUUGCACAAUUUGCGGAAGCCGGAUGCAGCAACGCCGCGUGCGAGAUGACGGCCUUCGGGGUGGAAGGCGCUUUCUCCUGUGACGAAGCGGGAUUGACGGUAAUGGGUAGAGGAGCACCGGCUAACUACGUG